UCAAGUUAUUAAGGGUGCAGGGCGAAUGCCUUGGCACUAGGAGCCGAUGAAGGACGUGAUAAGCUGCGAUAAGCUUCGGGGAGUUGCACGUAAACUUUGAUCCGAAGAUUUCCGAAUGAGGAAACUCACUUAGAGUAAUGUCUAAGUAUCGUUAAGUGAAUACAUAGCUUAGCGAGGGGAACCCGGGGAACUGAAACAUCUAAGUACCCGGAGGAAGAGAAAGAAAUUCGAUUCCGUAAGUAGCGGCGAGCGAACGCGGAACAGGCCAAACCAAUGAAGUUUACUUCGUUGGGGUUGCGGACAUACAACAUGGAUGCAAUAUCGUAAAUGAAGAGAGUUGGAAAGCUCCGCCAUAGAAGGUAAUAGCCCUGUAGUUGAAACGAGAAAGCUACUAGUAUGAUCCAGAGUACCACGGGACACGUGAAACCCUGUGGGAAGCAGGAGGGACCAUCCUCCAAGCCUAAAUACUACCUAGUGACCGAUAGCGCAUAGUACCGUGAGGGAAAGGUGAAAAGAACCCCGGGAGGGGAGUGAAAUAGAACCUGAAACCCUGCACUUACAAGCUGUGGGAGCACAUUACUUGUGUGACCGCGUACUUUUUGUAGAACGGGCCAACGAGUUACGUUAAGUAGCAAGGUUAAGCACUUAAGGUGUGGAGCCGUAGCGAAAGCGAGUCUUAAAUGGGCGAUUAAGUUACUUGGCGUAGACCCGAAACCGGGCGACCUAUCCAUGAGCAGGUUGAAGCGAAAGUAAAAUUUCGUGGAGGACCGAACCCACGAGCGUUGAAAAGCUCGGGGAUGACUUGUGGAUAGCGGUGAAAUUCCAAUCGAGCCCGGAGAUAGCUGGUUCUCCCCGAAAUAGCUUUAGGGCUAGCCUCAAGCGUAGAGAAACGGAGGUAGAGCACUGAAUGUCCUAGGGGGUAUUGCACUUACCGAAGACUAUCAAACUCCGAAUGCCGUUUUCUUUUACUUGGGAGUCAGACUGUGGGUGAUAAGAUUCAUAGUCAAAAGGGCAACAGCCCAGAUCGUCAGCUAAGGUCCCUAAAUGUACGUUAAGUGGUAAAGGAUGUGGGAUUGCACAGACAACCAGGAUGUUGGCUUAGAAGCAGCCACUCAUUUAAAGAGUGCGUAAUAGCUCACUGGUCGAGUGAUCCUGCGCCGAAAAUUUCCGGGGCUAAAACGUACUACCGAAGCUACGGCAUCAUUUAUGAUGGGUAGGGGAGCUUCGUAUGCAGGCUGAAGCAUGACCGUAAGGACAUGUGGACAGUAUACGAGUGAGAAUGUUGGCAUGAGUAGCGAGACGUGGGUGAGAAUCCCACGGGCCGUAAACCCAAGGUUUCCAGGGGAAGGUUCGUCCGCCCUGGGUUAGUCGGGACCUAAGCCGAGGCCGAAAGGCGUAGGUGAUGGACAACAGGUUGAUAUUCCUGUACCGCCAAUAAGCGUUUGAGAGAUGGAGUGACACAGUAGGAUAAGCUAACCGUACUGUUGGUUAUGUACGGCUAAGCAUUGAGGCAGUCUAAAUAGGCAAAUCCGUUUAGACAAUGCUAGGAUGUGAUGGGGAAGCCCUUCGGGGCGAAGUAGCUGAUUUCACACUGUCAAGAAAAGCUUCUAUCGAGUUUAAAGGCGCCCGUACCGUAAACCGACACAGGUGGGUGAGGAGAGUAUCCUAAGGCCAGCGAGAGAACUAUUGUUAAGGAACUCGGCAAAAUGACCCCGUAACUUAGGGAGAAGGGGUGCCUGUCUAUGACAGGCCGCAGAGAAUAGGCCCAAGCGACUGUUUACCAAAAACACAGGUUUCUGCUAAGUCGCAAGACGAUGUAUAGGAGCUGACGCCUGCCCGGUGCUGGAAGGUUAAGGGGAUCUGUUAGAGCAAUCGAAGCAGUGAACUUAAGCCCCAGUAAACGGCGGCCGUAACUAUAACGGUCCUAAGGUAGCGAAAUUCCUUGUCGGGUAAGUUCCGACCC
rnacentral:rRNA from 1 species